rnacentral:rRNA from 1 species
CACACGACUCUCGCCAACGGAUAUCUCGGCUCUCGCAUCGAUGAAGAACGUAGCGAAAUGCGAUACCUGGUGUGAAUUGCAGAAUCCCGCGAACCAUCGAGUCUUUGAACGCAAGUUGCGCCCGAGGCCACUCGGCCGAGGGCACGCCUGCCUGGGCGUCACGC